UUUCUCGCGGGAUUCCCAUUGAUGUAAACACGAGGUUGUCCGACACUGGUAUUAUAAGCUUUCUUUGGCCAAAACAAAGUUGAAAAAUAUCUUAUAGUGGUGCAAUGCUCUUGAACUCUUUACCUAACGAGUUAAAGAAUAUUGAUGAUACUUCACCCUGUUUGUUUAGAACGAAGCUAAAGGAAAUUUCGAAACGUCCAUUACUGCUCAGAACUGGUUAUUAGAUUUUAUGGUACAACAUUUUGUAUUGGUACAUUAGAGUUUAUCGACAUGUAAACUAUUCAGUUUUUAACUAGGAAUAGCAAUUGGGAUAUUAGUAGCAUUAGAUUAAAUCUAAAC